rnacentral:rRNA from 1 species
AUUGAACGCUGGCGGCAGGCCUAACACAUGCAAGUCGAGCGGAUGAAGGGAGCUUGCUCCUGGAUUCAGCGGCGGACGGGUGAGUAAUGCCUAGGAAUCUGCCUGGUAGUGGGGGAUAACGUCCGGAAACGGGCGCUAAUACCGCAUACGUCCUGAGGGAGAAAGUGGGGGAUCUUCGGACCUCACGCUAUCAGAUGAGCCUAGGUCGGAUUAGCUAGUUGGUGGGGUAAAGGCCUACCAAGGCGACGAUCCGUAACUGGUCUGAGAGGAUGAUCAGUCACACUUGAACUGAGACACGGUCCAGACUCCUACGGGAUGCAGCAGUGGGGAAUAUUGGACAAUGGGCGAAAGCCUGAUCCAGCCAUGCCGCGUGUGUGAAGAAGGUCUUCGGAUUGUAAAGCACUUUAAGUUGGGAGGAAGGGCAGUAAGUUAAUACCUUGCUGUUUUGACGUUACCAACAGAAUAAGCACCGGCUAACUUCGUG